rnacentral:ncRNA from 1 species
CACAAAGGUUUGGUCCUAGCCCUAUAGUCAGUUUUUACUUAACCUACACAUGCAAGUCUCCGCACCCCUGUGAAAACGCCCCCGUAUCCUUAUGGAUCCGAGGAGGGGGUAUCAGGCUCAACCACUUGCCCAAGACACCUAGCCAUGCCACACCCACAAGGGAACUCAGCAGUGACCAGUAUUGAACAUUAACGACAGCUUGAUUCAGUUAGAGUAAAUAGAGCCGGCAAAUCAGGUGCCAGCCGCCGCGGCUACACCAGGGACUCAAAUUGACUGCCAUCGACGUAAAGCGUGAUUAAAGACACACUAAAAUAGGACUAAACCCAAAUUAAGCCGUAAAACACUUAUCUGAGGGAAACCCACACACGAAGGUCGUCCUACCUAACUCAACUUGAACACACGAAAGCAGGAACACAAACUGGGAUUAGAUACCCCACUAUGCCUGCCGUAAACUUUAACCUACACACUCAAUCGUCAGGGGACUACGAGCAAAGCUUUAAACCCAAAGGACUUGACGGUGCCCCACAUCCCCCUAGAGGAGCCUGUCCUAUAAUCGAUAAUCCCCGUUCAACCUCACCGCAUCUAGCUUAUCAGCCUGUAUACUUCCGUCGUCAGUUUACCACGUGAGCGAAAAUUAGUUAGCCUAAUGUCCACACAUCAAUGUGCUUACAUCGUCAAUACGUCAGGUCAAAGUGCAGCAAAUGACGCGGGAAGAGAUGGGCUACACUUUUUAAUAUAAAAGAAACGAAAGACAAAAUGAAACUUUGUCAGAAGGCGGAUUUAGCAGUAAAAAGAGAUAUUAUAUUCCUUUUAACUUGGUACUGGGGUGCGUACACACCGCCCGUCACCCUCUUCGAAAACCCUAAUAUAGUACCUAACAAGUUUUCCUAGCAGAGAAGAGGUAAGUCGUAACAUGGUAAGCGUACCGGAAGGUGUGCUUGGAAA